GACGAACGCUGGCGGCGUGCUUAACACAUGCAAGUCGAACGGAAAGGCCCUGCUUGCAGGGUACUCGAGUGGCGAACGGGUGAGUAACACGUGGGUGAUCUGCCCUGCACUUCGGGAUAAGCCUGGGAAACUGGGUCUAAUACCGGAUAGGAGCCAUUUUAGUGUGAUGGUUGGAAAGUUUUUUCGGUGUAGGAUGAGCUCGCGGCCUAUCAGCUUGUUGGUGGGGUAAUGGCCUACCAAGGCGGCGACGGGUAGCCGGCCUGAGAGGGUGGACGGCCACAUUGGGACUGAGAUACGGCCCAGACUCCUACGGGAGGCAGCAGUGGGGAAUAUUGCACAUUGGGCGCAAGCCUGAUGCAGCGACGCCGCGUGGGGGAUGACGGCCUUCGGGUUGUAAACUCCUUUCGCUAGGGACGAAGCUUUUUGUGACGGUACCUAGAUAAGAAGCACCGGCUAACUACGUG
rnacentral:rRNA from 1 species